rnacentral:pre_miRNA from 1 species
GGGAGUGAUGCAGGUUGUUGACAGAAGAUAGAGAGCACUAAGGAUGACAUGCAAGUACAAGGAUAUAAGGAAAUUCAAGAAAGAGAGGAAAAAAGAGCCUGCAUCUUUACUCUUUUGUGCUCUCUAUACUUCUGUCAAUACCAUUAUUUAUUCCU